AUGAUGGGAGGUGGGUCCAGGGUGAGAAUCCAGUGGGUAAAGGGAAAAGUGGUGUAAGGGAGGAGUAAUACAGGGCAGGGGCCGAUAAGGUAGGAUGGGUGGAACAGUGCAGUGAACAUAAACCAGUGGGGGGGGCGGGGGGGUACAGGGAUACAAGAACUUUCCAGAGCUGGGAGGAGACAAGGGAUGACAUAACUGGGAAUAGAGGCAACCAAUGGGAAAUGAGGGUUAUAAAGCUUUACCUUAAAGCUUUGCCAUAAAGAAUUUUUAAAACCUUUGACAACCUUCUUAGGAGCUAUUCUAAACUUAAACAAAUGCCCUCCAAGGUCUGGGGCCAUGGGCCAACUCCUCACCCAAAACACUGGUCUGGCUUGGGAUGUCAGUCAGUCCGAUUCCUACACUGGGCCUCUGCAUGAUAUUCGCCCAGAAGCUGCCUUUCAAGGACUGAAGUGGAACAAAAAGUAUAAAAGAAAUGUCAUUCCCAGAGGGAAAACAGUUUCAUUUCUCUUGUGUCUACUUUUUUUUUUUUUUUUAACAGUUACCUCAAAAUUCCCGGAUCCAGAACAGCUACUCUGAGUUUUGGUAGAGAUUCCAAAGCGGGAUACAGUAGGUUUCAAAGUACACCUUGGAAAAUCAAUCGUUUGUCUGCAGCAUGCAGCAUGUAGGUGUGAUGUCUGUAACUGGUCUUAGUUGAUGCAGAGGUACUUGGAAAAAAACGUUUAAUCUUUCAUCUCUCCCCACCUGCAUUCUUCCUAAGUGUACUUUUUAUUCAGCAGGACUCGGAUGAGAGAGAGAGAGAGAGAGAGAGGGAGGAACUCUCUUCACAUCAGCGUCAAAGGAAAAAGUGUUCAGCGACUUACAGUCCAGGGCAGCGUCUUAGCCCAGGUCUCGGGGGCUGUGUGGAGGUUGCUCCCUGGAGCAGGGUCCCCCCGUGAGGAGGAGCCAGAGAUUGGGUCACUGGAGCAGUCUCUGGGGUUUGCCACCCUCGGUGCCACGGGACCGAGCUGUGCGAAGGCUCGAUCCCGUCGGUCCAAAGUCCUGGGCAGCGUUUCCAGCAGCAGGGGCUGGAGGCAUCGGGGGCUGCCUUUGGAGCCUUGUUCUCCCCUUGGCUUUUACAGAGGGUGCCAGACUCUGCCCUUAAGGAUCCAGUGUUGCUUUUGGACGUUGAUCCUGCAGCUGGACAGGCGGUGCAGUGAGGAGCAAGUUGCUGGCUUACGUGAUUUCUGAGUGACCUGUCACAGAAACGGGCAUCUGUGUGUGCAGGUGCUUCCUGGCAAAUCCAGAUGUGACGUGGAAAUCCUAAGGGAGGAGUUCCAGCCUUGACCACGCGUGACACAGGCUUGUGGAAAUGGAAAUGGCCUUGGCAGAAGAGCAGCUGUGAGGUGAAGCAGGACUGCAAUACAGGUGCUGCCCAGGGGGGACAUCUGUGGCCUCAGACAGCGAUGGCCUUGGAGCAAGGGGAGCCUUUGCACAGCUCACCUGCAGAGCUCAGGUGGAUGGGACAGGAUUGGUGUGGCCUGAGAAGUCCUGAACAGCUGUGUCUGUGUUCUGCAGUGCCUUGAAACCUUCCUCUGUCAGGUUUUGGAGGGGUUUCUCUUUAGGAUUUCUUGUGAUGCAGCACCCCGGGUGUCCCUUUGUGCAAAGUCCAGUGGUGAAGGAGGAUUGAGUGAGUGACAAGUGGGGUCUGGCAUGAAAAUGGUUCUGUUAAAAUGGAGCAAAGACUGCAAUAAGAAAAACGAGCAUCCCUUUACUGUCUGAAAGGGUUAGGAAUAAAAAUGCUGGAGAAGGGCACUUUUAUAUUUGAAUUGGUGUCACCUGUCUUGGAUCAAGCCCCACAGUGAGCAAUCCAGAUCAGAAGUGUGUAAGCUGGGAUCCUUUGACUUCUGCAGGGGACUUCAUUUUCUUUUCUUCUUCUUCUCUUCCAGGACCGGAGAAAUGGUUGUGGAAUUAUUAGAUGGCUUUUGUUAGAUGCAGGUUUUAUUUUUUCGGAAGUUUUUUUACUGCAGCCCUUUUAAGAUGGUUUUCAAUAAUACAGUGUAUAGUUUUAUAUUGUUUGUAGGUGGCAUAUGAUAAGAGAUGUUGUCUAGUUAAUGCUGUAUCUUUUAGUUUAGGUGUUGAUAAGGUUUUUUUUGAGUUGAGUUUUGUUUUUGUGUGGUUUUUUUUUUUUUGUGGGGUCUUGUUUCUAAAGGAUGCGUUGCUAAGGUUUCUGAUGGUGUUAGGGGCUGUAGCGUAAAGCAUAGGGCUGGUUUUCAGUUAUUUUGUGAUGGCUUUUAUUAUUGUGAGUAUUCAGUGUUUGUUUUGGGGGUUUGAGGUAAUGUCAUGUAGCUGAUUUAUUUGUUUUUUACUCUUAUAAUUGGGAUAUUAUAUGGGUUAUGUUAUUUAUAUUGGCUUGUUAUUAUAUCAAAGGGGUUUUAUGUGUUUGGUUUGUUUGAUUAGUAGUGUAUGUUUUAUUAGUUUUAUUAUUAUAUCAUUGGGCUUUUGUUUGUUAGCAGUAUAUGUUUUAUACUUGCAGAUAAUACGGGAGAUAUUGUUUAUGGUUAUAUUUAUCUUUUGGUUUUGUGUUUAUCUGUAGGUGGUAUUUGUGUAUUGAUGGUUUGAGACAUAAUGGGUUGAUUGAGCUUGGAGUUAACUUCUUUUGGCGUAGUUAAUUUAGGUUUAUUUGUGCAAUUUUUAUUUUUGGGUUUGAUUGGUUUGUUUGUUGUUUUGGUGUUUUUUAUUAUUUUUAUUUUUUGGGAACAUGGAUAUUUAUAGAGUGGAUUAUUUUAGGUAGGGUUUUUUUUUACUGUAGUGGUUAUUUUUUUUUUUUUUAAUAUUUUAGUGCUUUUAGGUUCUUGUAAUGUUGUCAAUUAGUUUGGGUUUUCAUAUUUCUUUGUUUUUUGGAAUGUUUAGGGUCAGUUGCCUUGUUCUGAGUUAAAUAAGAUGGUUUGAUUUAUUUUUUGUAGUAGUUCUUGUGAUUUGUUAUGAGGGUUUCUAUACAGUUUUAUUUCUGUUUCAUAUUUAGGAUGUGAUGGGAAUUGUUAGUGACAAGAGUGUAGUGUGUUUCUUUUUUUAUUGCUGGUAGUGGGUUGUAUGGUGUAGGUUUUGUAUUUUGCAGAGUAUUUUUUGCUUUUAUUUAGUGAGAUCCAAGUUUUUGGUUUUAGGUUCAUUUGUAAUUAUUUUCACCUCUUUGGGGAUUUAGAUUUUUGGUGUGAGUGCCCUGCCUGAUGACAGUAAUUGGUUGAUUUCAUGUGGUAUUGGUGGCAUGGUGGGUAGAGGGCAUUUUUGUUUUGACUAUUAAUUUUAAUAUUGGUAGAUGGGAUAGUAGGAGGAUUUGUGUUUUAGUGUUGAUUGGUUUUGAGGUGGUUUGGAUUUUUUGAUAACUUAAGGUGUUUUGUGAGCUGGUGGAUGUUUUAUGCUCUUGGUAGGAACACGGUGCUGUUUUCUCGAGUGUAUCCUUAGGAAGUGGAUUUUUUCAUUAGGUUUUUUGUUUGUUUUUCACGGUAAAAUGUGUUUUUAGGAGAACUUGGGUAACUUUAAAUAUAUUUUUGUUGAAGUUUUUUGUGUACUGUAGAUGAUGUGGAGUUUUCUUUUAUUGUAAUUUGUAUAUAAUCUGUGGUAGCCAGUAGGAUUGUGUUUUUAGUUUUGGGGUAGUUGUUUUUAGGUGUAUUGUACGUUUGUUUGGUGAAGGUAAAUUGAGGUUUGUGUUGGGCUGUUGGAGGAACAGAGAAAAAUGCUUUGGCCAUGUUAAUACGAGUGUGCAAUUCAGUUUGGAUUUUAGUUUGUAUUGGAGUUUUAAUACAUUUGGUUCUGUGUUGUGUAAUGGUGGAGUUCUUUAAGGAAUGAUAGCUGGUAGUAGUUUAUUUUCUGUAUGUUGGUGUAUAGGUUGAAUGGGGUUGUUGAAGGGCGUGUGGGGUUUGUUGCUUAGUUUUGGGUUUUGAGUUACGGAGUAUUUUGUGGAUGGGACAAGUAUCUUGAGUUGGGUGCUGUUGGUAGUGUCUUGUUGAGGGGGUAAUUGGUAUUUGUUAGGGUUUUUUAAAGUAGCUUUAUUACAGUUGUUUGGUAGUUGAGCUAAGGUGUUGAUUUGUUUUCUCUUGGUUUGGCAGUAGAUAUAUAAAAUGCUUAUUUGAGUUUUGAGGGCUUCUGGAACAUUUGUACUGGAAGAGAUUUAGAGUGUUUAGAAUGCUUCACUUUUUGGGUUUGUUAUAAUGGGAUUUAAAUACUUCUCUAGCUACUUUGUUAGGUUUUAUUACAGUUAAAUAUUGUGCUUCCUUGAUUUAGAUAUUAACAGAUAUGGGAUUAGUUUUUCUAUGUCGUGAUGGCUUUAGUGUGUGCUGUGUAUGAGUGUUGACAAAGGUUUUAUUGUUUCGGGUGUCCCUUUGUGCAAAGUCCAGUGGUGAAGGAGGAUUGAGUGAGUGACAAGUGGGGCCUGGCAUGAAAAUGGUUCUGUUAAAAUGGAGCAAAGACUGCAAUAAGAAAAAUGAGCAUUCAUUUUAAUGUCUGAAAGGGUUAGGAACAAAAAUGCUGGAGAGGGGCACUUUUAUAUUUGAAUUGGUGUCACCUGUCUUGGAUCAAGCCCCACAGCGAGCAGUCCAGAUCAGAAGUGUGAAAGCUGGGAUCCUUUGACUUCUGCAGGGGACUUCAUUUUCUUUUCCUCUUCUUCUCUUCCAGGACCAGAGAAAUGGUUCCACUCCUCCCAUCUUUGCCAAAAGCUGUGCUGUUUGAGGAGCCAGAGCCAAGAGGCUUCAGCACCAGGGCUCUGCACUGGAGGGCUCCCGGUCCUGCCCCCGCAGGGUUCCCCUUUUCCUCCCCGCUGGGAUGAAGUGUCUAUGGAAUCUGGGAUCUGGGUGAAACUGCAGCUCUGCUGGUAUCCAGGGACGUGAGGUUCCGGGGGACUGCGUUUCCCUGUGGCUUUCCAGGUCGGCAGGAGCCGGAGGAA